AAUGUUGAGAUGGGGCUUAUUCCUCUCGAAUUUUCCCCUGGCAGCUCGAACAGUGAAAGAACGGCGCUGAGUGGUGGUGGCAGUGGUGGUGGGGGUUAAAAGGAAGGUGGUGGAGGGUUUACUGAGAAAGGAGGAGGAGAGGUUAGAGGGAUGUUUUCUGGUACGGGGAGAAGGGGUGCAGAGAGCGAGAGUGGUUGAGGAAGAAGGAGAAGAAGGAGGAGGAGAUGGGUAUAUGAGCUUUGUGGAAGCAGAAGCUGAAGUUGCUGAAAUUGCCAUUGAAGGAGGCUAGAAUUUAGAGAGAGCGAGAGAGAGAGAGGGAGGUGGGUGUAGGAGUGGGUGGUGAAGGAGGACUGGAGGAGGGAGGAGUGGGGAGUGGGGAUUUUGUUAUCUGCAGCUGUGUGGGAAGACCAAAGAUGGCCUCAUACGCCCC
rnacentral:lncRNA from 1 species